UCAGGAUUAUCAUGGAAACUGACCAUACCAUCCUUCUGGUUAAUACUUGCAAAAAUUUCACCAUCUUCUAUCUACAAAAAAAUAAAUUGGGAAAGCAUUUUACAACACUAUUCUUCAAGAAAACUACCACUGCUGACUCUGGGGACUCAUCUGAUUCAUCCUCACAACUACAUCAUAACCAUGAAGUUAGAAAGUGAGCCGUUGCUAGGCAUGGUGGUAAUCCAUCCCAGCACUUUGGAAGCUAACAUGGGAAGAUUGCUUUGAGAUUGAGGCCAGCCUGGAUGCAUAGUGAAUUCAAGGCCUCCCUGAACUACACAGGGAUAAUGGGGAGAAUAAAGAAGGAACGUCAGUGUGCUGGUAGAAUUUUAUUUCUCCAGCUGCAUGCUAAGUACACUGGUGUUUGUCUGAGUGUCUUUUAUACCAGUGCUACUUAAAAUCACAUACAAUACUGGCCACACCGAGCUAAGGGAUCUGAGUUAAAACAUAAGUCAAUGACACUAAGCACAUUAUUUAGCCUUUCUUGAUGCUGCAGGGUACUUUGAUGUACAGCUAGAGCAAGCUGGUGAUCUUAUCAUAGAAGAACAGAAAGAAUCAUACUAUUUUAUGCCUCUCUGUAUAUCUGAAAUAUUUCUUGGAUGAUUUACAUGAAAUCCUGUUUCAUGAGGUUUAUAAAAACUCUGAUAAUGAAAAUGUGUAAAUGUAAUAAAUAAGGAACACAAAUAGGACACAAGAGGGUAAAUCACAUGAGUACACUAAUGCUAAGAUGUGAAGAGCACCUAAUUGUUUGCAUGUCCCCAAAAUUCAUUGUUAUUGAAGACUUGAUCUGCAGCAUGCUACUGUAGCAUGCACAUGCUACUGUAGCAUGCACAUGCUACAGCAUGUGGUGGAACUGUGAGAAAGGCCUGUGGGGAGAUCACUGCAGAUGUCUGAGGGGAUUGUGCAGCCCCUGCCUCACUCUGCUCUGGUUUAAGAUGUGAAUGGUUUUACAUGUGCUCCUGCCAUGAUGUGUUACCAGAAGCCAAACCAAAGGAGCCACUCCAUCUUGGAUUUCAGCAUGCAAAACUGUGACUUAAGUAAACUUCUAGCUUUCGCUCCUUUAAAGUUAGCUUCCUAAGGUAUUUCAUUAUAGUAAUACAAAUCUGACUACUACAAAAAUAACUGGAAAAUCCUAUACAUAAAGAAAUAGACCAAAUAGUCACUGUGAGUUGACUCUGGAUAUCUAACACUAUCUUCUUUUUUUAUUUUAUCCAUAAUGAAUACCUGGUACUUUCACAAGGAAAUAAUCCAUUAUUUUUUUUUAAAAUGAAAACACACUCACCAUGUGUAGAACAUACUUUUCUGCCUCCUGAGGCCCAGAUAACUGCACACGACUUGCCAUAUCUUGUAAUGAUAGUGUUAAAAAAGUCUAAAAAUCAGAAGUAAAAAUAAUCACAUGAAAAUAAGAAAGCCGUUUCGUUAAAUAUCUACAGACAUAUGAAAGGACUACUAUGCAGCCAUAAAAGGAAAAAAGUGAAGACAACUUUUAUGAAUUGAAAAAGAAUCCAAAAUAUAUCUAUCACUACACAUAAAAAAAGGAAGCUGCUAAUCAAUGUACAUGGCAUGGUAACAUUUGUAUAGAUGAACAAAAGGGAAAGACUGCUUGUAUACAUAUAUGGGUAUGUGCACAUGUGCAUAUGCAAAUGGAGCAUCUUUAUGAUACCUGAAUAGAUUUCCUUAUAACACUGGGCUGCUUCUGGAGAAAAGGAUGGUUGAGGGGGCUCUGUGGUAAAGCUUUUGCCUAGCACGUGAGAGGCCCUUGGGUUUGAACCCUCAAUGAAAAAAAAAAAAGGGGGAUAAGAAUGAUUGAGAUAAGGAAACAAGAUGGGAAUCUUCAUUUAUGUUACUUUUUUAAAAAUUUUGUAUUACAAAUGUAUUACCUAUUAAAAUAAAAUUGAAAAAAUAUCAUAUUCAUUCUUCAAAAUUCAAAGUUAAAAGUUUUAAACAAAAGAAUAAGCCAACCAGAAAAAAAGGCUACAUAUUUUUUGGUGCCAGGAAUCAAACUCAGAGCUCUGAACUUGCCAAGGGUACUUGUGCCACUGAGCUACAUCCUCAGCCUUAGACUAGAUGCAUGAAGGAAAUUCUUAUUUACUGCUGCUUUGCUUGAAUUUCAUGAAAAUGGUCCCUUUCACCCUUAUUCUUUAAAAAAUUAAUUUUUUAAAUUUCUUUUUUAAACUAAGGGGAAAAAAAUUUAAAAACUAGCAGGAUAUGUUAUAGUAACUUUUUGAUUUCCUAUUAAUUUGAAGUCCUGUAAUACUCCCAUUGUCUUGUUUUGACUGAUUAGACUCUAUUCUGCUCUGUAUGCAAGUAUCAAGUAUCAGAGUAUAGGCAACUACUUUGAAGGCAAUAAGAUUCACUAUGAUGCCCCCAUUCUGGUUUGACUAUUAUCCUCUUUUGAGGUUCUGUAAGAUUUACAAUGUUUAGGUUUUAUUGGUCUUGUUCUCUACUGUUUGGUUCAACUUUAUAAUACCUAAUGAGAUAGACAAUUCUUGUUUUUUUUUUUUUUUUUUUUUUUUUUGGUCUUUUUCGUUUUUAUUGGUACCAGGGAUCAAACUCACGACUGCCUGCUUGCAAGGCAGGUGCUUAUGCCGCUGAGCUAAACCCCAGCCCCGACAAUUCUUCUUAAGGAAGCAAGAGGCAUUAUGGUAACCAUUGUUGAUAACCCUGUACUCUGUUUUUACAUCAUGUGCUAUGUCUAUCCUUGGUUUUGACUGACAGCUUUGUUUUAUCAUGCUUGAUUUUAUUCUCUUACAAAAAAAAAGUAAUAAGAUCUAAGGGAGCAAUAAAGCCCAAAAUGUGUAAAUUUUGUUGUAAUAAA